UGCAGUAGAACGCUGAAGAGAGGAGCUUGCUCUUCUUGGAUGAGUUGCGAACGGGUGAGUAACGCGUAGGUAACCUGCCUUGUAGCGGGGGAUAACUAUUGGAAACGAUAGCUAAUACCGCAUAACAAUGGAUGACACAUGUCAUUUAUUUGAAAGGGGCAAUUGCUCCACUACAAGAUGGACCUGCGUUGUAUUAGCUAGUAGGUGAGGUAAUGGCUCACCUAGGCGACGAUACAUAGCCCACCUGAGAGGGUGAUCGGCCACACUGGGACUGAGACACGGCCCACACUCCUACGGGAGGCAGCAGUAGGGAAUCUUCGGCAAUGGGGGCAACCCUGACCGAGCAACGCCGCGUGAGUGAAGAAGGUUUUCGGAUCGUAAAGCUCUGUUGUAAGUCAAGAACGGGUGUGAGAGUGGAAAGUUCACACUGUGACGGUCGCUUACCAGAAGGGGACGGCUAACUACGUGCCAGC
rnacentral:rRNA from 1 species